GGUUGGUGAGGCGAAAUAUGUAUCGGAGAAAAAAGAAGAGAAGAGUUGAUGGGGAUGAAAGCUUUUGUGGAGAAAGAAGAUGAGUUGAUGUAUCUUAGUUUUUUUUAAAAAAAUUUAACUCCUUGUUUAACUUCUUGGAUUAUUAGACUUUAUAAAUAUUUGAGUGUUGAACUUGUAUAAUAUUUUGGAGUCGUUUGAAGAAGAUGUUGAGAACUUUGAAUUUGUUGUAUUGUGAUUUGAUUUCAAUUAUUAA